AGAAGUCUUUCUUAGUUUCUUUUUUUUCUUAAUUGUUUAGAAUUAGGUUAAUUUUAGGUUUUUCUUUCUUUUCUUUAGUUUUGUAAAAUUGUAGUUAAAAUUAGGAUUUUAAAGGUAAUUUUUUUAGUAUUUGUCAUAAAUAGGAAAUUAGUAUUUUUUUAGAAAUUCUUUCCUUUAAUUUUGUUUAGAUAUGCUUUUAUUUUUGAAAUGAUUUUUUUUUCUUUUCCUUAAUUGUCAAUUGAUUUUUCUGCAAAUUGGGCUGAGUAGACAAAUGGGCUGAACAUUUUAUUGGGCUGCACCUGAAUUAAUAAUGCUAACACUUGUAUAUGUGCAGGUGCUGUAUGAAGAAGAUGCAUUGGACUUAAAAUUGGGCUGCUGCAAACGUGGCUGAAACACUUUGGGCUGGUGCUAAUCGACUCUGAGUUGCUAAUGAUUGAAAGCAUAUAUGCAGAUUAAGUGGUUGCUGAAAGUUGCAAGCCUUGGAUUGGGAUGGAUCAAAUUUAACUAUGUUGGGCUGGAUCAAAUUUAACUAUGUUGUGCAUUUUUAACUUUGGGCUGAUUCCAAAUUAUUGAAACGUUGCGUUUCAGUAUUGCAGCAACUGCAGGGGUCUUUGCCUUCCCGACACAUUCAGGCAUAAAAUUUCGAGAGCUUGUGCGAAAAAAGAAAGAAAGAGGAAGAGCACGUCAUUCUGGAGAGGAGCUAGGGCUUUACGCAAGAAGAAA
rnacentral:lncRNA from 1 species